GUAGCAGGUAAAGAAACCCCGGCUAACUCCGUGCCAGCAGCCGCGGUAAUACGGAGGGGGUUAGCGUUGUUCGGAAUUACUGGGCGUAAAGCGCGCGUAGGCGGAUUAGAAAGUUGGGGGUGAAAUCCCGGGGCUCAACCUCGGAACUGCCUCCAAAACUGCUAGUCUAGAGUUCGAGAGAGGUGAGUGGAAUUCCGAGUGUAGAGGUGAAAUUCGUAGAUAUUCGGAGGAACACCAGUGGCGAAGGCGGCUCACUGGCUCGAUACUGACGCUGAGGUGCGAAAGUGUGGGGAGCAAACAGGAUUAGAUACCCUGGUAGUCCACACCGUAAACGAUGAAUGCCAGUCGUCGGGUAGUAUACUAUUCGGUGACACACCUAACGGAUUAAGCAUUCCGCCUGGGGAGUACGGUCGCAAGAUUAAAACUCAAA
rnacentral:rRNA from 1 species